rnacentral:misc_RNA from 1 species
AACUGAUACUACCUGCGGGAACCUGCGGAGGGAUCAUUAUUGAAUUGCCGGUACUAGGUACGUUGGCAGCAUUUUUUGUCCCAACCUGAUCAGCCGAAUGGCAUUGCUGGAGCUUGACUGAAACUUAGCGGGCGCAUGCCCAUGAGUAUAAUGUAACACAACUUUUAGCAACGGAUCUCU